UCAGGGCAAUUCUUCUUCAAGUGUC
rnacentral:misc_RNA from 1 species